GAAGAGAUGGCUGAGUGGUUUAAAGCGAUAGACUGUAAAUCUAUUUAUUAAAAAGUUUUCGUAGGUUCGAAUCCUACUCUCUUCA
rnacentral:tRNA from 1 species